rnacentral:rRNA from 1 species
AUUGAACGCUGGCGGCAGGCCUAACACAUGCAAGUCGAACGAGUGGCGGACGGGUGAGUAAUGUCUGGGAAACUGCCCGAUGGAGGGGGAUAACUACUGGAAACGGUAGCCAAUACCGCAUACCAUCGGAUGUGCCCAGAAGGGAUUAGCUAGUAGGUGGGGUAACGGCUCACGUAGGCGACGAUCCCUAGCUGGUACGAGAGGAUGACCAGCCACACUGGAACUGCGACACGGGCCAGACUCCUACUGUAGGCAGCAGUGGGGAAUAGUGCACAAUGGGCGCAAGCCUGAUGCAGCCAUGCCGCGUGUAUGAAGAAGGCCUUCGGGUUGUAAAGUACUUUCAGCUAGGAGGCGUUACUCGCAGAAGAAGCACCGGCUAACUCCGUGCCAGCAGCCGCGGUAAUAC